rnacentral:rRNA from 1 species
GUGCCAGCAGCCGCGGUAACACGGGGGGAGCAAGCGUUGUUCGGAAUCACUGGGCGUAAAGGGCGUGUAGGCGGUCAGGUAAGUGAGAUGUGAAAUGCCCCGGCUCACCCGGGGACCGGCAUCUCAUACUGCUUGGCUUGAGUACGGGAGAGGGUGUGGGAAUUCCUGGUGUAGCGGUGAAAUGCGUAGAUAUCAGGAGGAACACCGGUGGCGAAGGCGCACACCUGGCCCGAUACUGACGCUGAGGCGCGAAAGCUAGGGGAGCAAACGGGAUUAGAAACCCCAGUAGUCC